rnacentral:rRNA from 2 species
UGAGGAAUAUUGGUCAAUGGACGCAAGUCUGAACCAGCCAUGCCGCGUGCAGGAUGACGGCUCUAUGAGUUGUAAACUGCUUUUGUAUAAGGGUAAACCCAGGUACGUGUACCUGGCUGAAAGUACUAUACGAAUAAGGAUCGGCUAACUCCGUGCCAGCAGCCGCGGUAAUACGGAGGAUCCAAGCGUUAUCCGGAUUUAUUGGGUUUAAAGGGUGCGUAGGCGGUUUGAUAAGUUAGAGGUGAAAUACCGGGGCUCAACUCCGGAACUGCCUCUAAUACUGUUGAACUAGAGAGUAGUUGCUGUGGGCGGAAUGUAUGGUGUAGCGGUGAAAUGCUUAGAGAUCAUACAGAACACCGAUUGCGAAGGCAGCUCACAAAACUAUAUCUGACGUUGAGGCACGAAAGCGUGGGGAGCAAACAGG